CAUUUUAUCAUUUAGAUUUUGCUCUGUCUCCUAGUUCGUUUGCAUGCCAAAGAGGAAUUUGGGAAUAAGACUCCUCUUACUUGGCAUUCUAUCCUCCAUAUACCUUCUUCAGAUUUUUGAGCAGUCACUUGGCUAACCAGAUUUUUGAGCAGUCACUUGGCUAACCUAAAUUCCCUUACCCACUUGCUGCACUUUUGCACCCUUCCUGGUUUCCUUCCCUCAUUCUAUAUAUGCCACAAGAUUAAUUUGCUGAAAUCACAAAUAUAAUGAUGCAGUUUCUCUACUCAGACAUCAUUUGUGGCAGUCAUUUAAAUGCCUAGCAUUUUGGGCCUCUUAUAAUGUGACUCUAACUUCCUUUUCUACUCUAAUCCCCUAAUAUUCUUUUUUCAUUCCUGUGCCUUUGUUAAUUAAUUAUUUUCUAUAAGGAAUGUUUGUAUAACCCCACCAGGUUCUCCAGUUUAACUCCUACUCUGUUAGAGAACUGCAAGGCAUACUUGAAUAAAGCUCUAGAUUUUGAGUCAGAUGAUUUGGAUUUGGAUAUCACCUCAAACACAUACUAAAUGGAAGAGCAAGAGAAAUCAUUGACUCAGAUUUCUUACCUAUAAAAUGAAGAUAAAAAUACUAUAAAGUUUCCCACUUUAUAGAGUUGCUAUGGAAAAAGCUCUUUGUUUUUGCCUUGUGGAGCUCUUUUGCUUUGGGGGACUCUUAAUGACUUUCUGACCUUUAGGAGAACAUCCUAAAGGUUCAAAAAUUCUUUCUAUUAAGAUAUAUUCUUAAAGUAAUUUUAGGGAAAGAUGUUGUCAGUGACCCAGUUGAAGAAAAUGCUAUAAGGACUUUGUGAUUCGAGAUGCCUCGGACGAUGACAGCAAUAGAAGAUGCCUCCAGAAAUCAGACACUACAUCAUGACACUGAGUAUAUAUGUUCACAAUGAAAAUUGGUUUGAUAGCAAGUUGGUAUUGGCCUCAGGUAUACCCCUGCAGAUGAAGCCCCCUACUUUGGAAAGUGAAGAAGAGUCUGAGGGACAAGUGCAUUCAUCCUGUUCUGUUGCAAAUCGUGUCUCUGCUUCUUCUUCAUCAGUCUUGAUAUAUGCAACUUUAAGAAGAGCAAGAACAGUAAAUACACAACAGGGGUGGAUACUUUUUUUAUUACCUUCUGUGACAAGACUCUUGAACUUUGGAGUAGCUUUUCCCUGAUAAGGAUCUUGGAGACAGUUCUAUUACAUGUGAAAUUUGGAAAUUCUCUUCUGAGGAAGAAAGAAGAAGCCUUCUUAGUGAUUAAUGAUUCCUUUGGAGACUUGACUAUAACUCAUAUCCUCCUGAAGAUUUUUUCUCUCCAGUUUGAUGAUCCAGUUGGACAGUUUCUAGUUGUUUGUCAUUCCUCAGAUCAGAAUGGUACAUCUUCUGGACUGGUGAGGACAGCAAAUGAUGGUGGCACAGAUCAAUGGCAAGAGUCUGAUUAGAAUGAGAAGAAAUCAUUGGUUCAACCCAGAGACAUUACAGGGGUCUAGGGGCGGGGUACAGUAAUCUCUCCAGGUCUUGUAUUCUGGGGCUGGUAUCUGUGAAUAUGUCCGAUGGCUGUACAUUAGAUAUAUCAAAUUAGAUAUCCUGUAUACAUAUUAAACUCAAUCUAUCCAAAACUAAACUCAUUAUCUUUUCCCCAAAACUCUCCCCUCUUUCAGACUUUUCUAUUAUUUUUUAGGACAUCACCAUGGCACCUAGACAGUCCCCCAGGCACACAAACUAGAUAUUAUAUUUGAUUCCUCAUUAUCUCUCAACCCCCCCUCCAAGCCCAUAUCAAUCUAUUGCCAAC
rnacentral:lncRNA from 1 species